GAAUAAACUCGUCAGCCUACUCAGGAAGUUGAGAAGUGAUUUUAGUCUGUUACCUGGCAACAUGACACAAUGAAGCACGUGGCUUUCAAAAUAAACUAUAGAGAAUUAUUGACAUUCACAACCGUAUAUAGAGUUUAAAAAUAUAUGUCAAACAAUAUGCAAAAGUGAUUUUCAAAGCCGCUUCGCAAAGUGGAUUUAUUAAACUGCACUUACCGGCAAACAAAAAACGGGAGCUUUUAUUUUGAAGGCUACGCCUUAAGAAAGCGCUAGGCGCGUGUCUCCAGGGUGAAUCCGAGGUGAGCGAUUGUUGAGAAGGACGCUGGACCAGAACUUCAUGUGAAACUGCAGUCGAUACAGAGGACGUUGUUUGUGAGGCUCUUGAUCCACGUGUCUGUCCUUUAAAAACCACGGGUCCUUUAAAACCUCGCAUUUGUCACCACGUAGGUGAAGCCUCAACGGGACGGUGGUCCACUCCGCUGAUCUUUUCGGUGGCUCCGAAAGGAAAAAAGUCCCUUUUAAUCCAAUUACUGCUCUUCACGAUGCUCGUGCCCUCCGAGACCAGCCGCGAGAUCUAUCAUUGGGAAACAAGUCAAAUGAAGCUGGGCGGCAAUGAAGGCCAUUAGAGAUAAGCUGAGCUGUUCUGCUACGCUGGAGCUGUGUGGUGGGAGGGAGUGCGCCGUCCAUGAAGACAAACGUUGGCGGACGCUCGGCAGGCGGCAAGAAUCAAAGACGGCUCUCAUCACCAUGGGCGCCAUCGCUACAGCCCCACAGCCUCUCGAUGGGAAAGCAGAGGCGGCAGAAACAGGAGUUACGGAUGGAGACGUGUGGGUUUGCUGUUUGCGUUCCAGACCAGACUCCAGGUUUCCCUAAUACAACAGCUGAAGUGUUCUGGGAACAUCUCAAACCAUUUGUCAUAACAGUUUUCAUAAGAGCUACUCUGCUGGGGGAUAAUGACAAAUGUACCCGAGGAGAGCAUAUGAAAGCGGAUGCCUGCUCUCCUCUUUGCAGCUCCAGUACAUCUCACUGCCAGCACUCCUCUUCUGCUGAUUCAAAUUCUGGACCUGAAGCACAAAGUGGGACCUCCGUGUUCCGUGGAUUAAACCAGGUUUACGUUGUGCCAGGAUGAGCCUUUGAGCACAGACAGACCCUGUGAAGUAGAAGUAAAGGCCAUGUGAGAGGGAUGAGGCUUUAUGGAUCAGUCAGUGUAUACAUUUCAAUUCUAGCUGUGUAACCUUUGAGCAGGCAACAACAGCUGCCACUUCAUUUUGUUUUGUGCCACCCAUUGUGAAUAUAUGAAUUUUAUAAAGGCAUCAGAGCAAAGUGUGAUGUAUGUGAGCUACAGUUAACGGAGCCGUUCUCAUUCCCAGGACCUUGGUCUUCAUCAAUCUUAAUGUAAGCGAUCACAGUAUAUGAAGUCAAAGUGUAGAAGACAGGACCCGGUGGUCGUGGGUCAGGAACAUGCAGUGCAGUUCUUAUGCUGUACAUACAGUAUAUCUCAUGUUAUUACUGGUUGAAUAGAAAAAGAGGCAGGAAGAAAUUCCAAUGGACAUAUGCAGUUAUUUAGUUUUCUCACCUGAAGAAGAACUGGAGCAGCAAAGUGCGUGAGCUCUGCAGAACCAAAUAGCUUCACCUUGCGAUGGAAGUCCAUGUCCACGACAACGAGCAAACUGAGGACCCCUUCAUCCAUGAGCUGGCAUGAGUGAAGCAACAUGAAAUGAACUGACCGAGUGAAAACCAGUAGGUGAGAUGCAGUCAUCACAGUUAUCACAGCCUGAAUUCAUGCACGUCAGUGACGAGUGCUGAGGUUCAUGGCUGCUGACUGAGUCUGCGA
ensembl:lncRNA